AUUGAACGCUGGCGGCAGGCUUAACACAUGCAAGUCGGGCGGGGUGAUGUAGCUUGCUACAUUACCUAGCGGCGGACGGGUGAGUAAUGCUUAGGAAUCUGCCUAUUAGUGGGGGACAACAUUCCGAAAGGAAUGCUAAUACCGCAUACGCCCUACGGGGGAAAGCAGGGGAUCUUCGGACCUUGCGCUAAUAGAUGAGCCUAAGUCAGAUUAGCUAGUUGGUGGGGUAAAGGCCUACCAAGGCGACGAUCUGUAGCGGGUCUGAGAGGAUGAUCCGACACACUGGGACUGGGACACGGGCCAGACUGCUACGGGAGGCAGCAGUGGGGAAUAUUGGACAAUGGGCGGAAGCCUGAUCCAGCCAUGCCGCGUGUGUGAAGAAGGCCUUUUGGUUGUAAAGCACUUUAAGCGAGGAGGAGGCUACUUGGAUUAAUACUCUAGGAUAGUGGAUGUUACUCGCAGAAUAAGCACCGGCUAACUCUGUGCCAGCCGCCGCCGUAA
rnacentral:rRNA from 1 species